GCUGGGUGUAGUGGUGCAUGCCUGUAAUCCUAGCAACUCAGGAGGCUGAGGCAGGAGGAUUGCAAGUUCAAAGCCAGCCUCAG
rnacentral:sRNA from 1 species